UUAUGUGUAAUUAAAAAAAAUAUUAUUUUAAUAACCAACAAACCUAAUCAAUUAAUACAUUCAAAAAAAAAUUAAACUUAACUCAAAACUUAUUUAAUUACAAGAACAAACAUUAAUAACUAACAUAAAUACAGAAACAAAAUAAAAUAAAAUAAAAAAAUCAAAUCAAAUCAAAUGCCCCGCUGCUUCAUAUUCCUCUUCCUCUCAAAAAAUUCUCAAAUCAUAACCCUAAACUUCAAGCACCACAAAAUACUUCAACAAUCACCGCUAGUAAUCAUUGAUCAAAAACUGCCCAGUGCUUCAACAAUCGCCGAUUUGCCGCCGCGUCCCCAUCUCCGAGAUCACCUCUGAUUUGCCGUUGAACCACCAAAAUCCGAAAAUGUACCAAGCUUCGGAGAGAGAUCGUCUUAUUCGCAACUAAAUCUACAUCGACGAAACCUGCAAAUGAUGGUCAGUACAGUCCAUCCAAUUUAGAGGACCUAUUUUUACAAAAGAAAAAGAAAAAGAAAAAAAAGAAGUUAGAUCAAAAUCUUAAUGAAGAAGUUAGAUCACCUUCAUCAGCUCCAAACCCAUCAGCAGGAACAAGAGAAAUGAAGAAUCCAAAUCCAAAACCCAACUGGGUACUUCCUUUCAAGACCCAAAUCCUCCAAGAACUCUAUAUCAUUGGCAAGAAGCUAGGGCAAGGCCAAUUUGGUGUCGGGCUUCGCCAAGGCCCACCGCAGUUGAUGGUGUCGGGCUUCGCCAAGGCGGAGAAAACCCUAAAAUGUCUCUACUUGAGGAAACUGCAUCUUUGGUCGUGGUUUCAUGUGUAUGUGUCGCAGGAUUUGGAGAGGGAGCCGCCGGAGGUGGUGGAUGUUAGGGUUCCGAUGAGAUUUACAUGGUCGAAAUUCACAAGGCGGUGA
rnacentral:lncRNA from 1 species